rnacentral:pre_miRNA from 1 species
CUCGCCCGGUGUCGUGAUUGAGACUGACUCGGCUGGCGCCAGACUGGCAGGCGCCCGCCGGUGUGUCACAGAACACAGGAACGGCCGCAU